rnacentral:rRNA from 1 species
CCUACGGGCGACAGCAGUCGAGAAUCAUUCACAAUGGGGGAAACCCUGAUGGUGCGACGCCGCGUGGGGGAAUGAAGGUCUUCGGAUUGUAAACCCCUGUCAUGUGGGAGCAAAUUAAAAAGAUCGUACCACAAGAGGAAGAGACGGCUAACUCUGUGCCAGCAGCCGCGGUAAUACAGAGGUCUCAAGCGUUGUUCGGAAUCACUGGGCGUAAAGCGUGCGUAGGCUGUUUCGUAAGUCGUGUGUGAAAGGCGCGGGCUCAACCCGCGGACGGCACAUGAUACUGCGAGACUAGAGUAAGGGAGGGGGAACCGGAAUUCUCGGUGUAGCAGUGAAAUGCGUAGAUAUCGAGAGGAACACUCGUGGCGAAGGCGGGUUCCUGGACAGUAACUGACGCUGAGGCACGAAGGCCAGGGGAGCGAAAGGGAUUAGAUACCCGGGUAGUC